GAUGAACGCUGGCGGCGUGCCUAAUACAUGCAAGUCGAGCGAACAGAUGAGGAGCUUGCUCCUCUGACGUUAGCGGCGGAAGGGUGAGUAACACGUGGAUAACCUACCUAUAAGACUGGGAUAACUUCGGGAAACCGGAGCUAAUACCGGAUAAUAUAUUGAACCGCAUGGUUCAAUAGUGAAAGACGGUUUUGCUGUCACUUAUAGAUGGAUCCGCGCCGCAUUAGCUAGUUGGUAAGGUAACGGCUUACCAAGGCAACGAUGCGUAGCCGACCUGAGAGGGUGAUCGGCCACACUGGAACUGAGACACGGUCCAGACUCCUACGGGAGGCAGCAGUAGGGAAUCUUCCGCAAUGGGCGAAAGCCUGACGGAGCAACGCCGCGUGAGUGAUGAAGGUCUUCGGAUCGUAAAACUCUGUUAUUAGGGAAGAACAAAUGUGUAAGUAACUAUGCACGUCUUGACGGUACCUAAUCAGAAAGCCACGGCUAACUACGUG
rnacentral:rRNA from 1 species